GCAUUUGCAUCAUUGCAUGGACUAGAGAUAGGGCUGCUGUUACAUGCACGGGAGGUGCAGAUUUUCGACCAUGUUUUACAGGUGGCGGAGUGUUGUUGGGCUUGUCCAGUGCAGUUGGGACCCUGGAUUAUGCCUGCAGACCUGUUGGUCUUAGGGCAGUUACAGGUAGGGUGUAAACGAGCUGAACACGAGCGAGCUGGGGUCGGCUUGUGUUUGGCUUGUUUAUUAAACGAGCUGAACAUGAGCUGGCUCGUUAAAGUAUCGAGCCGAAAAGUUCAGCUCGUGUUCGACUCGUUUAUUAACGAGCCGAACACGAGCUGGCUCACGAGCUGGCCAACGAACAAUAAAUUAAAAAGGAUUAGAUUAAAUAUAUAUAAAAAAUAAAUUUAUCAAAUCUUAUCUAUUAGACUUUGAUCUAAUAGUUGAAACAUUACAUAUAAAUGAGUCUUUUUAUAAUUAAGCUCGCAUUUAUAUUUUUAUUUUGCUAAAAAUAAAAUAAUAAAAAUAUAUAUUAUAUAUAAUUAUUUAUUUAUAUAUAAAAAUAUAAAUUAAAUAAAUUAUAUAAAUAUAAAAUAUAUGUAUUCGAGCUGUUAUCGAGCCGAACACGAGCGAGCUGACCCCAGCUCGUGUUCAGCUCGUUUAUUAAACGAGCUGAAAAAUUCAGCUCGUGUUCGGCUCGU
rnacentral:lncRNA from 1 species